AGACCUGAGCUGCGGGGACAGGAGCAGUGGCCUAACAUCUCUCCCUGGUGUCUCUGCUAUUGAAAACACUUGUCCUGAAGAUGGGGACCACCUGAAGAGAUGCCUAGGGAACAGACUCCCCUUAAAAUUUGACAAGGAUAUAUCCUGGGACCUAGGGAGCACAGACCAAGUGGGGCUAGCGUUCUCACAGAAGGACAUCGAGGUGUCUGGGAAAGAGACUUUGGCAGGUCCAGCUGUAUUCGAGCUUGGAGAUUCAGACUCAGGCUCCCAUACUUGUGUGGCAAGCGCCGUAUCUGCU
rnacentral:lncRNA from 1 species